rnacentral:rRNA from 1 species
UACGGAGGGGGCUAGCGUUAUUCGGAAUUAUUGGGCGUAAAGGGCGCGUAGGCGGCCCGGUAAGUCAAAGGUGAAAUCCCUCGGCUCAACUGAGGAACUGCCUUUGAAACUGUCGGGCUUGAGGCCGGGAGGGGGUAGCGGAAUUCCCAGUGUAGCGGUGAAAUGCGUAGAUAUUGGGAGGAACACCGGUGGCGAAGGCGACAUCCUGGACCGGUAUUGACGCUGAGGCGCGAAAGCCAGGGGAGCAAACGGG